rnacentral:tRNA from 1 species
GGGCCCAUAGCUCAACUGGCAGAGCCACCGGCUCAUAACCGGAAGGUUCCUGGUUCGAACCCAGGUGGGCCCACUA